GAAAGAAUGUGUAGCCCUGUCCAAUUAGACACAUGCAUAAAAGACAUUUAAAAGGCAUAAAAAGACAAUCAGAUUUCAUAAAUGUUUAAAAAUGAGUGAUUUUGUAUGUAAAUAAGUUAAAAGAGCCACAAAGUUCAUUCAGUUAAAAAACAUAGAAUUCAUUUGAAAUGUAUUUACAGUGUAAAAUGUAUAAAGUUCAUUUAUGUGUGAAAUUGAAAGAGAUGAAUAAGUUUUGGUUUCAUUGUUUCCUUAAAAGAUGUGCACACUAUCUUGAUUUUGUUUCAGUUGUCACUCAUGGUGUUUUUUUGUUGUCACUGGUUUGGUUGUGACUUAAUAGCCAAUCAGAGAUCUUCUUUUGCGUAAGGGGCGGGACAAGUGGCGCACGGUGCUGUAACAGGAAGAAAAAAUAGAUCUCUCUCAUGUCAGCCGUGAUCCGCGAGGAAACAUCGUGAUUUGUGGAGAACAUUCAAGUUAUAUGGAAGAUUGACUCCCAGUUGAUCCAGAGUGUGACUGUUGUGAUCUGCAUCAGGUAACAGAUAUGUGUAUUUCUGUGCUAUAACUUGUGGUUGCAGUGCUAAAGGAAAUCAUGUGUCUGGUGCUACAUAGCGACUAGCUGUUAGCUUUGGCAUUUCAAUGAGCCUCAAUAUGCUCAGUUUAAGCCUUGUAUGAGCACAUACUUAUAAUAAGUGUGAGUUGAACUAAGUGAAAUAUCCUUGCAUCAGAUGUGGACUGAGAGAGAGCCGGUUGGAGCGUCGACCAGAGGCCCGGCGGAGUUUCUGCUGUUUCUUCAGUGUUAUCUUCAGUUUCGUUUCUUCAAUGAUAUCUUCAGCUUCGUUUCUUCAGUGAUCUGAGUUUGUUUCAUCUCAUCAUCAUCACCAUCUUCACAAAAGACCAUCUACUCCUCUGUUCCCUUGUGACUGCUACCACUCGUUUCCCCAUUCAUCCUAUUAACCCCCUUGGAUCCGUGAGUACUCAAAAGAAUUACUAAAAGUGCACAUUUUAUUUUCUGUUGCUCAAUUUGGAGUGAAGCGGCCCCACAGUUUCUGGCCUCACCGCUCCCCAGCUUCGAAUCAGGCCUGCAACAUGGUUAUUUGCAAAAUGAAUGUUUGAGGAGUGUGUGAGUGUGGGCCCACAAAUUUGAUUUAUGUUGGUUUUGUUGUUGUGAUACAAAUAUAUCUGGGAUUUUGUAAAUAAUAUCUAAAAAGGUAUAAAAAGAGGUUUUUCAUGAAAAAGGGUUAAUUCAUAAGAAAAAAGGUUUGAAAGAAAAUUCAUAAAAAGGACUGAUAUUUAGUUUUUUGUCUCUGUAUAUAUUUUAUAUUUUGUUAAAACACAUUUUCAUUUAGAAUUUCAUUAUUUUAUUUCAUUGAUACAAAAUAAACCCUGUUUGGAGGAUCAUUGUCUUAAAAGUUCAGUUGUUGUGUCCCUUAUUUGUGUUAGCUAAUUUUACUAGUUCAUACCGAACUCAGGCCCCAUCCCACAGUUACGUGAGAUCCGGGUUACAUAAUGGAGGCACUGCUGGGAUCAAAUUAAACAAAAAUUCAGAAUAAGAAAAUAAAAUAAAUAAGAAUCUCAUGGACACAACAACUUUUAAGAGCAAUAACUGUAUUUUCUAACAGUAAUAAGAACUAAACAGUCCCAAAAUUAACAGAAAAAAAAAGGAUUUCAAAAUGAGCAGUCCCUCACAACUUGAUCUGGUUAACUGGUGCAGAGGAGAAUCAGUAGAUGUAAGACAUGCCCUCCUACUUUAUGGAGUACCUGAAAGUAUAUCAACAGCCGAGAUUGAAGAAACAGCAGAGACUAUCAAAGUCUUAGGCAGAGUGGUGGUUAGGGGAAAAAUGUUUCACCCUCAACAACAGUCCUUAAUGGUAUUGUGUGAGUGCCGUGAGCCAAUAGACCCCACAAGAAUACCCCCAGAAGUGAUGCACAUAAGUGGUGGAAGUGCCUGGAAAUCAGUGUACUAUAAAGAGCCCCAACCUGAACAGUUUGAAGAAAAGUUACUCAUUUUUCUAAAAAAUGAAGGAAAAACCUUGGAGGAUCUCCAAAGUGCACGUAGCUCUCAAGCAACAGAAGACAGCAACACUGAGGCUGUCAUCCGUGCAGUUGGAGAAAUAAUGGGCAAAACAAACAGACAAACAGACAGCCAUGCCUACAGAAGAUUACGAACUUUCUCCGGAGUCAGUCCCACACCCACGGGAGAGGAGUCCCUCCACGUCUGGCUGGAGCAAGCAACGCUUCUAGUUGAUGAAGGUGAGUGCUCUGACAAAGAGAAACGGCGACGGAUCUUGGAAAGUUUAAAAGGGCCCGCCUUGGAGAUCGUUCAAGCUGUUCGUAUGACUGAACCAGAUGCUAGCCCCCAUGACUACAUAGAGGCCAUAGAGAGCAUUUUUGGUACUGUAGAGUCUGGAGAAGAACUUUAUUUGUCAUUCAGAUCUCUUCAUCAGCAGCCUGGUGAAAGCUUAUCUGAUUUUCUGAGAAGAUUAGAGAGGUCUCUUGUUAAAGUUGUGCAAGCAGGUGGUUUACCUGUUAGUUCUGCUAACAAAGCCAGAAUAGAGCAACUUAUUAAAGGUUCAACCUCUGAGCUAAUGUUGCUUCAGUUGAAAAUUAGGGAGCGGAAAGACAACCCCCCAACUUUUUUGAACUUGCUGAGAGAAGUGAUUGAGGAAGAGAGUCGUCAGUCUGCCAAACAAAGCCAAACAGCACCUGUACGUCGUCAACACGUACGCACAAUACAGGCUGAGAAGGAGAAAGAGCCUGAUUCAACCUCCAGGAGUGAACUUGAGGCUCAAAUUCAAGAAUUGAGAGCGCAGCUGGAGAAGAAAAACAGCUCACCAUCUCAGAUGCCAUUCGAUGGUUCUGUCAGUGGACCAAAAGAGAAGAAAAACAAAAAAAUCAAAGGAGAGUCACAGAACGAACUGGAGUCCCUCAGAAAACAAGUUCAAGAUCUGCAAAAUAAAAUGAGCGUAAUGGCAGUGAACUACGCAUCAGCUCCUCAGAGAGAAAAUAUGACACACCCCAGUAAACACAGACCAGCCCAAAUCCACAAACCUGCUCCAUUCAAAGCUUCAUUGUCAAGAGGUUCUGAUGAGUAUUUUUGUUACAAGUGUGGAGAAAAUGGUCAUAUUGCUACGAGAUGCACUGGAGCUGAAAACCCACAGAAAGUCAUAAGAAAGCUCAUUCGUGUAGUACGAGGAGCACCAGAUCCCACUACAGAAAACUCAAAAUCUGCCACAGAUGAGUCGUGUGUCGCGAAUGUCAACAAAAUUGAAGUCCCUGGAAAAGAUGCAAACUUACCUGAAGGUCUUGUAGGUCCAUCAUUCAUUCAUACCAUCAAGGUGAACGAUGUGCCUUGCAAUGCUCUCAUUGACAGUGGAUCUAAUGUGACUAUCAUCUUUGAAAGCUGGUAUAAUGACCAUUUGGCAGAUGUUCCCAUCAAACCCCUCUCAAACCUCGGCCUCUGGGGUCUUGCUGACACAGAUUAUCCAUACAGAGGUUAUGUUGUAGUGGAGAUGGAGUUUGCAAAAGAGAUCACUGGUGUAUCUGGACAAGUCGAGGUGCUUGCAUUGAUCUGCCCUGAGCCAAAAAACCAUCAACAGGCCCCUGUAUUGGUUGGCACAAACACAUCUCUGUUUAGUCGCCUGUGGGAACUGGUGAAGACGGAAAAUGACAAGGACAUUGUCCACUCAAUGAGAAUUCAGUCAGUCUAUACCCCAGUCAAUGCUCCGACACAGCCGAAAAAAGAGGAAAUCUUGGGACAAAUAAAAUGGAAUGGGCCUGGCCCACUUUCUGUUGCUCCAGGAGCAAAAUACUAUGCUACAUGCAAAGUAGACAGACAGACUGCCCCCUCUAAAGAUUUCGUACUGAUCGAUGCACCCACUGCUCAGUCAUUACCAGCUGGCGUACUGGUACAGCCAGGUGUGCUCCCAAAUGCUACUAUCGAUAGCAACAGUUUCACUGUACUCAUUCAGAAUGAGUCCAAAAAAGCAACCUCUAUACCAGUGGGAACGGUCAUUGCUGAAAUGUAUGCUGUGGACACAGUCACCCCUGUCCAACCAUCUGAGUCAACAGCUGAAGCUAUCGACCCAGAGCUCUUCAACUUUGGAGAUUCCCCGAUCUCCGAGGAGUGGAAGAACCGGCUUCGGCAGAAGAUGGCUGGAAGGAGGAAAGUUUUUUCAUUGCAUGAAUGGGAUGUUGGCUUGGCCACAGGUGUAGAACACCACAUCCGUCUACAUGACACCCGACCUUUCAGGGAGAGGUCAAGGAGAAUCGCUCCUGCAGAUAUUGAUGAUGUGAGACGACACAUACAACAACUGUUGGCGGCUGGGAUUAUAACAGAGUCCCGUAGUCCCUACGCCUCACCAAUUGUUGUUGUGAGAAAGAAAAAUGGAAACAUAAGAAUCUGUAUCGAUUACAGAACACUUAAUAACCGCACCGUACCAGACCAGUACACAAUGCCACGCAUUGAUGACGCUUUGGAUUCGUUGUCAGGCAGCAAAUGGUUCUCUGUAUUAGAUCUACGUAGUGGCUACUACCAGAUUGCAAUGACUGAGGAAGAUAAAGAAAAAACGGCAUUUAUUUGCCCCCUCGGUUUCUAUCAGUUUGAGCGCAUGCCACAAGGAAUCACAGGAGCGCCUGCAACAUUUCAGCGUCUAAUGGAGAAGGCAGUUGGUGACAUGCAUCUUCUGGAAGCAUUGGUAUAUCUGGAUGAUAUCAUUGUUUUUGGAAAAACUCUGGAAGAGCAUGAACAGAGGCUGCUCAAAGUUUUGGACAGACUGGAGGAGAUUGGAUUAAAAGUUUCCAUUGACAAAUGUCAGUUUUGUCAACCUCAGGUCAAAUACGUGGGUCACAUUGUAUCUGCAAAUGGGAUAGCUACUGAUCAGGAGAAGGUGGAAGUGGUGAAAGACUGGAAAGUUCCCACUCACCUAAAACCUCUAAAGUCGUUUCUGGGUUUUUGCUCUUACUAUCGGAGGUUUAUUGCAAAUUACUCCGCUAUCAUUCGCCCCCUCUCUGAACUUACCAAAGGGUAUGCUCCCCUGUGGCAGGACCCUAAGGCCAGAAAGAAAACAGAUUCAAGUAAGGUUUACUUCAAAACAUCAGAGCCUUUCGGAGAGCGGUGGACUCAGACCUGUCAAGAUGCAUUUGAGAAAAUCCGUGACUGCCUGAUCAACGCCCCAGUUUUAGCCUUCGCUGACCCCACAAAAACUUACAUUUUGCAUGUGGAUGCCAGUAUGAAUGGAUUAGGUGCAGUCCUGAACCAAGAAUACCCCGAAGGCCUUCGACCUGUUGCUUUCGCAAGUCGAAAGCUAAAAGACUCAGAACAAAACUACCCAGUCCAUCAAUUGGAGUUUCUGGCAUUAAAAUGGGCUGUUGUGGACAAAUUCCAUGACUACUUAUAUGGUGCAAAAUUCAUUGUCAGGACUGAUAAUAACCCACUAACAUAUGUGUUGACUUCAGCCAAGCUCAGUGCAGUUGGUCAUCGCUGGCUUGCUGCUCUGGCCACAUAUGAUUUCACCAUUCAGUACCGUCCUGGGCGACACAACAUCGACGCUGAUUUAUUGUCCCGUCAGUACGCCCCAGGAGAUGAAAAAGAUUGGGUGAGCAUUCAACCUGCUGGGGUUAAAGCUCUCUGCAAACGGGCCACUGUAAGUGAAGAAGCAGAGGCACCAGACCGGUUGGUGGAUCAGCUUGGAGCUCCUGGCAUGGUGGUGCCUGAUGCUUUUGUGUUCCCAGUGAAUCUCAGCAUGAGCGCACUUGACCAGUUGAGCCCAAAAGAAAUUCAGACAUCACAAGAUUUGGAUCCCAUAAUUGGACCAGUCAAGAAAGCAGUUGAAACCAAACAGAAACUGAAUCACUCGAAAAGUGAUCCGCCAGAGAUUCUUUUGCUCCUCCGUGAAAGCAGCAAACUGGAAUCUAAGGAUGGAGUACUUUAUAGAUUGAAAGAAAAACCAUGUGGAAAACAAAUAAAACAGCUUGUCUUGCCAUCAAGAUAUCGGCCCAUGGUUUUAAGAUCACUGCAUGAUGACUGUGGACACAUGGGUGUCGAGCGAACCAGAGAAUUGGUCAAUGAUCGAUUUUAUUGGCCACGCAUGGCAGCUGAGGUUGAGGAGUACAUUAAAACAUGUGGGAGGUGCAUAACCAGGAAGACGCUCCCUCAACGUGCCGCGCCGCUGAAUCAGAUCACCAGUAAUGGUCCUUUGGAUCUUGUCUGUAUUGAUUUUUUACAGAUUGAGCCAGAUUCCAAAGGUGUUGCUAAUGUGUUGAUCGUGACAGAUCACUACACACGUUACGCACAGGCGUUUCCUACCAAAGAUCAAAAAGCCAUCACUGUUGCAAAAGUAUUGUGGGAGAAAUAUUUUGUGCACUACGGCCUGCCGGCUAGGAUACACUCAGACCAAGGCAGAGAUUUUGAAAGUCGGUUAGUGAAAGAGUUGUUAUCCAUGUUGGGAAUCCGAAAAUCACGAACAUCCCCUUACCAUCCACAGGGCGAUGCGCAACCAGAAAGAUUCAAUCGCACUCUCCUAGCGAUGAUUGGCACUUUGGAUACUGUAAAAAAGCAAUGCUGGAGCCAGCAUAUCAGUCAUCUUGUACAUGCUUAUAACAGUACUAAAAAUGAUGCCACUGGAUUUUCGCCAUACUUACUCAUGUUUGGCCGAGAAGCAAGACUGCCCAUAGACAUCUGUUUUGGGAUCUCACCGGAUGGUGAAAGUGAAUCUUCUCAUCAACAGUACAUCGUUAAGAUGAGAAAAGAUCUCCAGAAAGCCUACGAGCUGUCCUCGGAAGCAGCUACAAAGAGUCACCUAAAAAACAAAGCUCGUCAUGAUCAACGAGUGAGAGAUCAGCCAUUGGACAAAGGGGACAGAAUUCUCAUCCGGAAUGUUGGGAUAAAAGGCAAACAUAAGCUCCAAAAUCGAUGGAAGUCAACUCCAUAUGUCGUUGUGGAAAAGCUACCCAACCUACCGGUAUACAGAGUUAAACCAGAAUAUGGUUCCGGCUCGACCAAAACCUUGCAUCGAGAUCAUCUGUUGCCAAUCGGUUAUCUGGUCAGGAUGUCAGAUCCUCCUGAGGAAGAAGAACCCGUCCGGAGACCUGUCACCAGAUCGCUUCGUAACCGACAAAACCAAAGAACAACUCAGCCUACUCAAACAGAGGAUGAUACUGCAUCAUCAGAUUCUGAGCUGGAAACCACUCAUGUUCCUUGGGAAUUUGAUGUGGAUGAAGUCAGGAGACAAUUGAAUAAACAAAAUCCGGAUCCUAAUGAAACUGAGAGCAGUAAAAGCUCAGAGGAGGAUGGAAGUUCUCAAGAGGAGAACCCAGACAUGCCGGAAAAUCAACCUACUGAAGAAAGUGAGAAUGAAGAAUCUUCUGAAAGCUCUACACCUUCUGAAGUGGAUUCUGAAGCUCAAGAAACAAAUCCCUCUGCAGAAGAACAAGAUUCAGAAGGGGGAGCAACAACACCCUCUUCAAGCAGAGCCAGAAAUGACAGAUCACAUGAAAGUUCAAGACGAAAACAUAAACAGUGUUCCCCUGUUCGAAAAUCUCAUAGAGAAUCAAAACCGCCCAUGCGAUUUACUUAUGACAAACCUGGUUAUCCAUCCAGUGAACCAGUUACCAUUAUGCAUCAUGGCAUGGUUAUUCAACUAAAGCUAGACCCUCAAGACCAAACCUAUAAGACACCUAGACAGAAACAUAAAACAUCCAUGAAAAUCUCAGAACAUGAGACAAAGAAACAUGUUUCUAAGACAAAGAAAAGGGAAAAGGUGUGAUGAGGACAUCUACACGGUUAGAAGGGGGAGGGUGUAGCCCUGUCCAAUUAGACACAUGCAUAAAAGACAUUUAAAAGGCAUAAAAAGACAAUCAGAUUUCAUAAAUGUUUAAAAAUGAGUGAUUUUGUAUGUAAAUAAGUUAAAAGAGCCACAAAGUUCAUUCAGUUAAAAAACAUAGAAUUCAUUUGAAAUGUAUUUACAGUGUAAAAUGUAUAAAGUUCAUUUAUGUGUGAAAUUGAAAGAGAUGAAUAAGUUUUGGUUUCAUUGUUUCCUUAAAAGAUGUGCACACUAUCUUGAUUUUGUUUCAGUUGUCACUCAUGGUGUUUUUUUGUUGUCACUGGUUUGGUUGUGACUUAAUAGCCAAUCAGAGAUCUUCUUUUGCGUAAGGGGCGGGACAAGUGGCGCACGGUGCUGUAACAGGAAGAAAAAAUAGAUCUCUCUCAUGUCAGCCGUGAUCCGCGAGGAAACAUCGUGAUUUGUGGAGAACAUUCAAGUUAUAUGGAAGAUUGACUCCCAGUUGAUCCAGAGUGUGACUGUUGUGAUCUGCAUCAGAUGUGGACUGAGAGAGAGCCGGUUGGAGCGUCGACCAGAGGCCCGGCGGAGUUUCUGCUGUUUCUUCAGUGUUAUCUUCAGUUUCGUUUCUUCAAUGAUAUCUUCAGCUUCGUUUCUUCAGUGAUCUGAGUUUGUUU